rnacentral:rRNA from 1 species
GCUCCGUUUAUCUGUUACAACUCUCCCGGUAGCGCGUCAUCCCUCAAUACUCCCAGACUGGAGUGAGACGAGACACCCGCGACCGGCGAGCGGCGACACCGGGAGGUGCGUGGUGAAUAUAAUUAUUGUUCCUGCGGCAAGUGCGCGCUGGCCUUACGCUCACUCGGUAGGCCCACUUCUUACAGGUUCGUUCGCCCUACCACCAGGCGGGCCCGCCACGUGCACCCGGUGGUUCAAGUCGUUCCCACUACCCUACACGGAUAUCCUUGGUAAUUCUAAGGCUAACACGUGCUCAAGAGCUCGCCUCUGGCGAGCUGUUCUUCUGGCCUCCAAACCCGGGGGCUUCGGUCGUUCACAUCCUGAACAAUCAGAAGCUAACUGAUCGGUGCCUUCGGCACCGCCAGUCCGGAGAGGUUUCAGACCUAUCAACCUGAUGGCAUGGGAGCGGCAAGCCAUGGUUAUAACGGGUACAGAGGAUCAGGGUUCGGUCCUGGAGAGGUAGCCUGAGAAAUAGCUACUACUUCUAAGGAAGGCAGCAGGCGCGCAACGUUCCCAGUGGGAUCAUCCCUGAGGACGUGACGGAACAUAGCAAUACCAGGCCUUCGUGGCUUGGUAAUUGUAAUGGGGGCGUGUUAAAUCUCCCACCGAGUAACAAUUGGAGGACAAGUCUGGUGCCAGCACCCGCGGUAAUUCCAGCUCCAAUAGCAUCUAAUUAAGUUGUUGCAGUUAAAACGCUCGUAGUCGAAGCCAGUGUCCUGGCGUAGUCCUUCUUCCCACGUACGCGUUGAGACUCAGUCUCCGUGGCCGUGGAUCGAGCGGGGCUGCGGUUGGUCUACUCAAAGGCUAGCACUGUCGCGGUACAGGUUUCGAUAGCUGAUCGCGGCGGGCUGGCAUCUUUCUUUGAGAAAAACUGAGUGCUCGACGCAGGCCGUUACGGCCCUGAAAGUUCUAGCAAAGAAUAACGGAUAAGGAUCCCCUUGUCCCGUUGGUUCGAGGCGUAUCAAUGGUAAAUAGGGGCACUCGGGGCUGGUCACAUGGCUGGGGUAGGGGUGAAAUCCGAUCAUCCUAGCCAGGUGGACGAGUGCGAAAGCAGCCAGCAAGUCUGUUCCCGUUGAUCAAGAACGAAAGUCUGGGGAUCGAAGACGAUCAGAUACCGUCGUAGUCCAGACCCUAAAUGCUGUCGACCAUGGAUGGACCGUAGUCCAUCCCGACCUGGCCCGAACGCUGUGGAAAACCAGAGCAUUUGGAUUCUGGGGGGAGUAUGGUCGCAAGUCUGAAACUUAAAGGAAUUGACGGAAGAGCACACAAGGAGUGGAGCCUGCGGCUUAAUUUGACUCAACACGGGGAAACUUACUAGAGCAAAAGCAGGGGAUGAUGUACAGUAUAUCAGUGCUUUACAGAUUCCUGCUGUGGUGGUGCAUGGUCGUUCUUAGUUCGUG